rnacentral:rRNA from 1 species
ACUAACGCUGGCGGCGUGCCUAACACAUGCAAGUCGAACGAGUUGUUUACAUAUAGCAAUAUGCGUAAACGGCGAGUGGCGAACGGGUGAGUAACACGUAGAUAAUCUGCCUUUCAGACGGGGACAACUCAGGGAAACUUGUGCUAAUACCCGAUGAGACUACGGAGGGGGACCUCUGCAGCCAAAAGUGGGCGUAAGCUCACGCUGAAAGAUGAGUCUGCGUCCUAUCAGCUAGUUGGUGGGGUAAUGGCCUACCAAGGCGAAGACGCAUAGCCGGCCUGAGAGGGUGUACGGCCACACUGGGACUGAGAUACGGCCCAGACUCCUACGGGAGGCAGCAGUGAGGAAUUUUCCGCAAUGGGCGCAAGCCUGA